UUUAUGCUCAGCACCGUACGCACAGCAAUAUCCUUUUCACACGCCUCCCUUAGCUUAGCUGCUCUCCGCUCAUACGGUUGUUUAUCUUUGACAGAUUGCUCAGACCACAUCUCACCCAGUUUCCUCGCAGUAUCUCCGAUAGACAGGCCUGGGCGUUCACUUUUGAUCUCUGGGAGAUGUUCAGAGCAAAACAGGAAGAAAGCAGUCGGUGGUCCUUUUCGAGCAUUAGGAUCUUCUUCCUUUCCUUUCUUAUCGCCUUUCUCUCUGUCAUAACGAGCCUAGUUGCUCUUGGCCAGAUCUUCAAACUUUGACUCUUCCUUUGCAGAUAUGGUCUUCCAUCUCUCGGGGCUUUUCUUUCAGAACUCACGGAAGUUGACUGGGGAGCUGGCGAGCCUCUUGUGCUCCUUCCGGCAGGUCUGCGGGAAGAAGGCUUUCGAGGACUUUGCGCCUUGUGGCUUGGAGCCUCUCUUGCCCAUUCUGACUGCAGCUGGCACGGGCUUUCCCCUCAGAGCCCAACAGAGAUACUUCCUUCCGGAAGCUCCAGUGUGAACGCUCCACUUCAACCUUUGAUGUUUCUUACCUUCUGUGCUUCUGUUGUUUGAAGAAAGUCUUCGGCCUUCAUGGAGACAGAUACAAGAAGGAAGGAAGGACCUAGAAAUUUGCCCUGUACUUCUUAGACCUCCUUUGACUUUUGGAACAGAAAAAAAAAAAAAAAAAACCUUGACAGUGGGUAAAAUCUCUUAAGCGACGUGAGUAGGAUUUAAAAUAAAUUUAUUUCUAGGUAUUUUGUAAA
rnacentral:sRNA from 1 species